ensembl:snRNA U6 U6 spliceosomal RNA
GUGCUCACUUCAGCAGCAUAUAUACUAUAACUAGAGUGAUUCAGAGAAGCUUAACAUGGCCUCUGUGCAAAGAUGAUACAACAACUGGUGAAGCAUCUCAUANNNNN